UACGUAGGGGGCAAGCGUUGUCCGGAUUUAUUGGGCGUAAAGAGCGCGUAGGCGGCCAUACAGGUCAGCUGUGAAAACUCGAGGCUCAACCUCGAGACGCCGAUGGAAACCAUCUGACUAGAGUCCGGAAGAGGAGAGUGGAAUUCCUGGUGUAGCGGUGAAAUGCGCAGAUAUCAGGAAGAACACCCGUGGCUAAGGCGGCUCUCUAGUACGUGACUGACGCUGAGACGCGAAAGCGUGGGGAGCGAACAGG
rnacentral:rRNA from 1 species